GGCGGUGCGGCCCCCACGAAGGGUCGUCGGCCGGCGGGGCGGGGGGUUCGGGCGGGCAGGGCGGCCGGGGGGCCCCGCGCCCGGGGGAGGGCGCUUCGCCCGAGCAGCUGAGCUGCAGCCAGAGCAGCGAGGCGAAGCCCAGCAGCAGCGCGAGGAAGAAUAGCUGGAAGAUGGAGAACUUGCCGGCCAGGAGACCCAGGAGCUGCGGGGAGCCUCCGCCCCGCAGGCGCAGCGCGGCUCUCCGGCGGCCCGGCCCCAUGGCGGACCCCGGCCCCGCCGCCGGGACACGCUGGCCGGGCCGCGCCGCGCCGUUCCGUUCCCCCGGAAACAAAGCCCUGGCCUCGGCGUUCCGCUCCGCUCCUUCCGCCCGGCGGGGGCGGAACCGUCCCGGGACCCUCCCCGUGCCCGCUCGCCCCCACGCAUCCGCCGGCUACCUCCCCUGCUAGGAGCCAUUGG
rnacentral:lncRNA from 1 species